AGAGUUUGAUUAUGGCUCAGGAUGAACGCUAGCUACAGGCUUAACACAUGCAAGUCGAGGGGCAGCGAGAGGAAAGCUUGCUUCCUGUCGGCGACCGGCGCACGGGUGAGUAGCGCGUAUCCAACCUUCCCCUUAGUAGGGCAUAGCCCGGCGAAAGUCGGAUUAACACCCUAUGUUAUCCGAAGAGGACAUCUGAAUUGGAUUAAAGGUUUACCGCUAAGGGAUGGGGAUGCGUCUGAUUAGGUAGUAGGCGGGGUAACGGCCCACCUAGCCGACGAUCAGUAGGGGUUCUGAGAGGAAGGUCCCCCACAUUGGAACUGAGACACGGUCCAAACUCCUACGGGAGGCAGCAGUGAGGAAUAUUGGUCAAUGGGCGAGAGCCUGAACCAGCCAAAGUAGCGUGCAGGAUGACGGCCCUAUGGGUUGUAAACUGCUUUUAUACGGGGAUAAAGUGAGGGACGUGUCCCUUUUUGUAGGUACCGUAUGAAUAAGGACCGGCUAAUUCCGUGCCAGCAGCCGC
rnacentral:rRNA from 1 species